GCGCUCUUAGUUCAGUUCGGUAGAACGCGGGUCUCCAAAACCCGAUGUCGUAGGUUCAGGUCAAUCAAAAAAAA
rnacentral:tRNA from 1 species